UCCGUCCUGCUGGCAGCGCCAAAAAAGGACUCGCUUUUCCUCCAAAGUGCGCAAGCGCAGUUGCCAUAGCCCCAGAGACAAUAUGAAAGUUCACAUCCACCGGGAAGAAGGAAGCUUGUGUGAGGCCUACCUGGCUUUAUAGAACAAUUCUGAGAGCAUGCCUCGUGCGUAUGAAGCAACCCAGCGACUAUCCAAGGAUGGGAAAAGCCUCUAUGCAGUGCUAGAACUAAAGAAGGGUGCUCAGCCUGAAGAGAUCAAAAAAGCCUACAGGAAACUGGCCUUGCAGUAUCAUCCAGACAAGAAUCCAGGGAACUCUCAAGCGGCAGAAUUCUUCAAAGACAUCAACGCAGCCCAUGCCGUACUCACUGACCCUACAAAAAAGAAGAUCUAUGACCGGCACGGCUCGCUAGGGUUAUACCUGUACGACCAUUUCGGUGAAGAAGGUGUCCGAACCUAUUUUAUAGUGAACAGUUGUUGGUUCAAGACACUUGUUAUUCUUUGUUGCCUGCUGACCGGUUGCUGCUGCUGCUGCUGCUGCUGUUUAUGCUGUGGUAGACUUAAUCCAUCAGCUGAGGAAGAAAAUGAGAAUUACCAAGUGAAUGUCUCUUCUCAGCCUUCAAGAUCAAGUGAGGAGCAGAGACAGGGAUUGGAGGCGAUAAUUCCACCACAGGAACACAAGAUAACAUUGAAGAAGAGGAUUAAGACGUGAUGAUAAUUAAGGAGACGUGAAGAGGAGUGGGGUAUAUAAAUGGAGAAGCAGCGAUGGGUAAAGAGUACUAGCUCAGCGAGAGUCUCUUGACACUCAGCCCAUUGGAUACAUUGAAGAGAGAAGCAGGUAGCCCUGUCCUGACACUGACCCAGAUUUGACUCCUGUUCUUAAAAAACAACCCCUGCUUCAGAAGCUAUGAUGACAUCCUCGUAAGGACAACUCUGCCCUCCACAGUGCCACAGAACCUGUCCCCACAGAACCUUCUGGCUGCUCUUCUUUUUAGCUUCACUCCUGUCUUUAUCCACAUGAGCCCUCAAGCUGUGUUGGCAACUGUUGGCUGAGUGUGUGCAGCUCUCUCCAGUGGGUGCCUGGGUCAGUGUUGGGUAGGCCCAUGAGCACUUACCAGUAACUCCACCAAGAUCCUGAUCACCAAACAAGGUGGCUCCCAUCCCAAGAGCUGUUGGACCAAUUGAUUCUCCUUUGUUGGAACACUGCAUACCUUUUAGCACCAGCCUCAUUUCUUUGCAACACCUUUGGAAGGCUGGUCUCACCAUCUUCUGGCACCUACACCCCUGGCAUUGACAUCCCACUCGUAAGACAGCUUGGGAAAUUUGUGUUUGUGGCUUCCCCUUGGACUUUGGCUGUGGUCCUGUGGACGGGCUGCAGCCCAUGCUCCAGUCCUGCUGCCUCUGUCCUUCACGAUACUUCACGCAGGGCGAUCCUCUUAUCUCUUGUUCUUAGCACAGGGACAUGAAAUGUGACGGGGACAGACCUCGCAGGAUAUGUCAUUUAGCCCCUCUGUGCUUGGCAUCCUCUCUGUAUCCCUCCUUAUCUUUUCUUUCUUACCCAUGUGGGGUCACAGCCUAGGAACGAACCGUCAAACCUCUCUGUACUCACUGGGAGAAAGGCUAAAGAAUAUCAAUAAUAAAAAAAAAAAAGCUUUGUCCAA